ACCUUAACAGAAAUACUGGAGAGUGCAGCAGUGAUUUCUGACUGACAGUUGCAGAACUUCUUCGCGAUGGAUCUGUUAUGGUCAAGGCAGGACUUUCCAAUCACACUUAUAUACAUUGUGGAUAACCUUAACACCAAAAAUAAACAGGAUGACAUGGUUAUAAGGUUACAAUAUACUAAAAUAUUUUGGAGUGCAAUGCUAUACUCUCUAAAAACAUGAACAUCAUUUAUAAGAAGACACAAUUCUCUGUAGGGGCACUUGCCAUGGCUUUAUUUUAGAAUGAUUCUUUGUGCAUGUGGUAGGGAAAACAUUGAUGUUUAACAGAAAUUCACUCUUUUGCUUGAAGGUAACUGGAGACUACAUGAGACUUUGACAGAUGGCGGGAAACCCUUCUCAACUGGUACGAAGCCGGUAAAUAGAUGGCCAUAAAACAGUGACCGCUGAUUCGCGUCGAGUUCUUUCUUGCAUAACGUAGAGAAAUGUCUGGGACUUAGCCGAGGGCAACUGGAGAAGGGUUGUUGAUGGCAAAACAGGUUGGAGACUACAUGAGACUUUGACAGAUGGCGGGAAACCCUUCUCAACUGGUACGAAGCCGGUAAAUAGAUGGCCAUAAAACAGUGACCGCUGAUUCGCGUCGAGUUCUUUCUUGCAUAACGUAUGACCCCCCUUUUUUAUUGUUUAAAUCAUUGCGGCUUGGAAUGCUCUUUAAGAAAAGGUAUGGUUAUGGGGAUGUCUAUGCGCAAAAGUUUGACUUUAUUUUUAGUUAAAAGUUAUUGCUUUCACAUUGAAUUUGUGUAGGAAAUCUUUUAGUAUAUUGUCACCAUAAUCAGACACUGGGCUGGUACCAAUUUUUAGUACAAUUGCAGCAGUACAUGAGGUUUCAGGACAAUGCAUAAAGGGGAAUGCAGGAUAUGCUGGAAAAGAUUGCUAUUCCUAAUUUUCAAUGGCCAGCAGAAUGUCUAGAUGUUAAUCAGAAACAUUUGGUAGGAAUCAGUAAAGCUUCAACUGCAGGCUCACAUGGAAACAUAAAUGUUGACAAGUCCACUUAUUAAAGGGGCCUUUUCACAGAUUUUGGCAUUUUUUAACUUAUUCAUUAAAUGCUUUAUAUUGAUAAAUGUAAACAUUGGAUCGUAAAAGCUCCAGUAAAAAAUCAAGAAUAAAAUUAAAAAAAGGAAAAGAACAUUGCCCAGAGCAGGUUUCGAACCAGUGACCCCUAGAGUCCUGCCAGAGUCCUGAAGUAAAAACGCUUUAGCCUACUGAGCUAUUCCGCCGAGUACACAUACUUGGUGUAUUUUAUACCUUAUAUAAGCAAUCUUCGUAGUUUCACAAAAUUUAACGACAAAAACAGAACUCUCCAAAUUAUUCAAUCGUUUCGCGUUGCAACGCUUUAUAAUUUUUAGGUUUUAAAAUCGUCAAAAGAUGCAUAUAAUGGCUAUAUUAGACCAUGGUAAAUGUUCAGUAUUACUGUUUCCUCACAAAUAUCAUAACUAAAACGAAAAUUUACGAAUCU